AUUGAACGCUAGCGGGAUGCUUUACACAUGCAAGUCGAACGAGUGGCGGCCGGGUGAGUAAUAUCUCGGAACGUGCCCAGUAGCGGGGGAUAACUACUCGAAAGAGUGGCUAAUCCCGCAUACCAUUAGAGCGGCCGAUAUCGGGUUAGCUAGUUGGUGGGGUACAGGCUCACCAAGGCAACGAUCCGUAGCUGGUUUGAGAGGACGACCAGCCACACUGGGACUGAGACACGGCCCAGACUCCUACGGGAGGCAGCAGUGGGGAAUGUUGGACAAUGGGGGAAAGCCUGAUCCAGCCAUCCCGCGUGUAUGAGAAGGCCUUCGGGUUGUAAAGUACUUUUGGCAGGGAAGCGGUAUCUGCAGAAUAAGCACCGGCUAACUACGUGCCAGCAGCCGCGGUAAUUC
rnacentral:rRNA from 1 species